AUCCCCUCACCCCCAACUCCCUCAGCCUCCUAAAGUGUUGGGAUUACAUAUGUGAGCCACCACACCUGGCCUCUGGCUGAUUUUAAUGCUUUCUAGUGCUAUUCUUUUAUAACACACCACUAAAAAUUCCCUUUCAUAUUCUGCCUGAAAGCUACUGUGACCAUCCUUAGUGAUGCCUGGAUUUAGUGACAUGUAUCUUUUUCUUUUUGGGUGGUGUGAUAUGGAAAAGUUGCUCUGUAGAGCACUGACUUUCUCUUGUUCUCAUAGAUCUCAAUACCUCUCAACACAGAUCAAUAGAUGCACAAUGGCCACAACCUCACCAUUCACCUCUUCAGUAUGGUGACUGACUUACCUGUCCCCACCCCUGAUGGUGCACAGACACUGGAGAUCCUAUUCUGGGUGGGGUGCUCUAGCACUCUGAGGACUUCUAAGGUUAGAUUUUCCAGCUUAUUGAUGAGUACAUCAUAUGAGACCAGACAAACAGGCCUGCUGCAGUCUGGGUGGAUUGCAUCUAUUGCUUUUCUCUUAUCACACUACCUGUCAUUCCGUCAUUGAAGGAAAUGAAGUUGGCCUGGCCUGGGUUGCUCGGCAUAGAACCUGCUAGUUGUUCCCCACACCCUAGGCUUUUUUUAGGUGAUUGCAAAUUGAUUGUUGAAUUAUACGCAAGAGCCACAAACUUUCCUAUUGCACCUUGAGUUUUUUAUGUGGAUCUUCAGCCUGGAACCUUUUGUUUUUUUAAAGAAAGAAAAUGAAUUAUUUUCUUUUUUCUAUAUAAAAUUAAAUACGUAGGAGACUUGGGAAGGUGAAUUUUUUUAAGGCUAAGCCCACCUUUGCUCAUACUAAUCUAUACUUUUUAGCAGUUAUUUUUGAGAGAGUGAUUUAUUUACACUGACAGCUUGUUACUUAUGGUAGCUGCUGCCAGCUUCUGAAGUAAUCUGAUAAUGUCAAAAUGUGAAGGGAAGCUAUAGGCUUUACCUUGACUGACUUGCUAUAAAUCAUGUACAUUGCUGGUGUCUAUAUGAGGAUGCUUGGGUUGAUCCUGGUGGAAAUACAAAUCAAAUGCAAUACAUGGUAACCCAAUUCAGAGCUAGAGAUUUUGGAUUAAGCCUAUUGGAUUCAUAUUUUUAAGUGAAACAGAGCAGACAUAUCAGGUUGUAUUUUGAAAACUCACAACUGUCUGAUAUGGUAACUUCAAGGACAAUACCUGCCUUUGAAAUGGAAAUGCAAAGAGGUGAACUCAUCAUAUACCUUUGGUUCCUUUAUUCAUUCAACAUGCAUCUCUCUCUUUUUUUUUUUUUUUUAGCACUUCCUGUGUAUCAUUAUGCCAAGAGAAAGGGAUGACACUGUUUUAGCUAUUUAUUUGUAAAUGUAUUUGUCUGUAUAAGCUCCACGAGGGUAGAACUUUGUCUUUCUCAUCACUAUAUGCUCAGUGCUUAAGAUAGUGCCUGGCCCACAGUAAAUGUUCAAUAAAUGUUUGUUGAAUGAGACUAUGAAGCCCAGAGAUUAUAAAUUCAGUGUUGGCAAAACCUUGACGUCAUUCCCCUGGAAGAAAAAGUCAUUCCCAUCUCUGGACUCUUCAUAAAGUCUUCUAUAGUCUUUUGUAUACAUUUCUCGUAAGGCAUGUUUCAUAUUGCAAAGUAAUUGCUGAUUGACACAUUGGAUUCUUCAACUAUAGCAUAAGCUCUGAUACAACAGAAAUGAUGUCUGGCUAAUCUUGGACUUCUCAGGACCUGGCACACAGGUGGCCCUGAAUAAUUGUUUAUGGUCAUAGAAUAACAGAAUUCUUAUAAAAUCAACCAUCUAUAGCUUUGUCUUUAUACAUGUACAUAAUGACAUUGAAAAAAUCUGAAGUAUAUGCAUAAAAUCCUAACAGGGCUCAUUUUGCCAAGUGCCAUAGAAGACGCUUUUAUAUUAUUCCUUUGGAUUAUCUACAUUUUCUAAUUUCUUUUUUAUAGUGACUAAGCAUUUGCUAAAUGAAAUAGUAGUAGAGGGAGAAUCAUUUAAGUUUUUUCCCCUAACACUUCUACAUUACCUAUGAAAAGAUGAAUUUGUGAGAUUUGUGUGUGUGUGUGUAAUAAAUUUUUAUCAGUUGGUUCAACCAAAUGCAUCAGGGGAAUUUGCUGAAUAAUGGAAUCCUUUAGUAGAUGGAGCACCGACUCUCAAAUGUGGCUUUGGUAUAAAUCUGGAUACCUAACGUCUGGGUGUGCUUACAUGGAGGCAUGCCUGUGUUUGGAAAGGAAGCAUCAAUUUAUGUGGAAGACUAAACCAUGGGCAGGAAUCCCAGGGCAAGGUUCAUGCUCUUCUCUAACAUUUGCAGAUUCCUGGGCAAGAGUACAAAUGGAAGCCUCUAUACCAUAUGUCUGAGUGUUUAUAAACCAAACUAACAAAUGCUAAAUAAAAUAUGCUCUGUUCUUUUACCAUGGCAGAUAUACUUUUGUUAACGAAUUGGAAUUCAAUUGCAAUUUAGAAUUCCCUACUUCCUUGGGGAGCUGGAAUGUGGCAGCAUGGUGAGAGCCUGCCCUGGUCUCUUGACCAUCCCCCUUCUCUGUGCAGCCCUGGCCCUCUCUUGUAUGCUGAGUAGCUUCAUUGCACAUGUGUCUGGAUGGGUCGCAACACAGCCUGCAUGUCCAGACUGCCUAUUUGUCCACAGCUCAUCACGGACAGCCAUAUCAGGACUAGAAUUGUACAUAUUAGUUGUACAUAUUAGUUUUGUAGGAUGGCUUACUUUUGAUAGAGUUCUGGAUACCCACAGCGGAACUUGGAAGGUGGAAGACACACUGUGGCAUGCUCCUGGGCCCCCAGGGCUUCUUAAUUCAUGAGGAGGAGCACAUUGGAAAAAGCUGAGCUGAAAAAGGUUGAGGAGGGUUCAGGGAAGCAGUCUCCUUGUUCAGGCUUGAGACUAAAGCUUCAUGGCUCCCAAUUUAAGGACAAGCCCUAUGUUUCUUGAAUUAUAAGCCCCCAAAUCACCUUAGAUUUAGACCAGUCUCUUCAUAGUAAUUUAGUGAUCUCAAAUUUCAGUGUAAGAAUGUCUCAGUGGUGGAUGAAAAUGAAUCAGUGGGCUGUGUUAUGAUGAACUGCUUGUGUCCCAUGUGUUAGUAUGACAGCAUGCCCAGGCCUCUGCCAAAUUUCCAGCUUCAAAGAGAACAUGCGUGGAAGGCACUUAGCACAAUGGUGAGCUCUGCAUCAUUGGUGCCUCCCAUUAUUGUGAUUGCCAUUAUUCUGAAUUGAUUUCUCUGUCUUACCAUCCAAGAAAGGCCAACCUAACCAAGUUAGGUUGGGUGAGAAUGGGGAAGAGGUUUGUAUGGUUCAUGUUUACCACUGUCACAUUUGUCAUGCUUAUCUGUCUGCAGAAGGUAAGCUGUUCCCAUCCUAUAAACAUGCCAUUUAUCUCCUUGCCCUAAGUUCAUGAGCAAACUCUCUGGCCUUUCUUUAUGAGUGCCACAGAUUGACUUUCUCUUCCCAUACAGAGCAAACAGAAAUGGGUGGGACUUUUUAUUGAGACAAUAAUGUGGCCUGUGAUGGAAGCAGAAUGAAGGGUCAUAUGUUCGUUUCUUACCUUGAAGUUUGCUUCUUCUUGCUCUGCCAUUGCUGGAAGGGAAAGGAAGGGGAUGGGAACCCUCUCCUUGGGAGUUAGCAGAGAGGAGGGAAGCAGUUUCCCCUCAUGAGACAGACAUGUCUUUUACGGUCUUGUAUCUUUAAGUAGGAUUGGGGUGGGUAGGGGGAUAAAGAUGCCAAAGAUAAUGACAGUUCUCUGUAUACCAUUGGAUUUGUCUUUCUAAAGUGGAGGAUGAAUCAGGAGCCCUAAAGGAGGUGCAGAAAAGGACUUUUAUUGGUAGUAGCCUACUUGGAAACAGAGAAAUUUUCUUUGAGAAGGAGGCUUCUCAAGCCCUUUCCCUUCAAGGUUCUUACCUUUGCUUGGGGCUCACCUAGCUGUUUCUGCUGCCUGGGAGACAGAAGAGAGAUGGUCUUUGGACUUGUGUGUUAGUUGAGGAACCCAAGAUCGAUAGGCUCUUUCUUCUGUUGCCAUCUGACUGCCCAAGGGCUGGAGUGUUCUGUGGUCUUCUAACUCUCCUGCUUGCUUGAAGUGUUAUGUUUGGUUUGCUAUGAUAAUAUAAACUUGGAUACAUAAGAAAAAAUGUAACAAUAAUAGAGCUGAGUCAAAAGAGAGAAAAUAUCCAGUGAUUAUUGAGAGAGAGAAUGAAAUUAUACACAUGGGCAUAGAGAAAGCAACCACCAGGGCCACCAUGGUGGGAUGAAGCAAAGUUGUCAGCCCCUGACAUCCCCUGCCAUCUUUAGUCUUUGGGGAGGAGUGAAAAGCCACAAUGCGGGUAUUCAGGAGAAUUGGACUCUAGUCUGGAAGUAUCACUUCCUCUCUAGGUCCCAGUGUCCUUACUGGAUAGACUAGACCUUUCAUUUCCUUUAAGCUCAAAGAAUUUGUUAUUCUUAAUUAUAUCAAUAUAUAAGGAAUUAUUCGGGAUUUUGAAAAUAAAUACAUGUGUUACCAUGGAUUCAUGCAUGUGUUCAUUUACUCCGUGAAUGUUUAUUGAGUACCUGCUCUUUUCUAGGCACAAUGCUAGCUGCAGAGGACAGGGCAGACCUGGAUUCCCCUCUGUGGCACCUGCCAUCCUGCAGGGAGUCCUGUCCACUCAGUAUAUGCUAACAAGCCCAGCAGGCUGUGCUGUCAGAAAAUAGGAUGGAGAGAGUGCUCAGAAUUGGGAGAAAAAUAUAUUGAAGAGUUUUGAGACAUGUAUCAAGCAUUUUCGUUUUCAGUUCUUUGCUCAGAUUCCGCAUUCUUAUGGAGGCCUACCCUGGUCGCUUGAUUUAACACUGCAGGGCGUCCUUCUGUGAUGCUCCUGAUCCUCUCAUGCUGCUCUGCGUUUUCUCCUUCCCAUGCCACUACCCCUUACCACCAUUGCCUUUCAGCAUUCACUCUAAUUUACUUAUUCAGGAGGGUGAUUGUAGGUUGUCUGCCUACCUCACACUGAAAUACAUGCCCACAAGAGUAGGGAUCGUUGUCCUCCGUGUUUACCAGUGUAUCCCAAGUACCUGCAACAGUAGUAGGCACUCAAUAAACAUUUAUUGAGUGGAUUAAUAAGUGACCCGUAUGACUGAAGAGUGCAGUAGGGUAUUAUAAUGACGCUGGAAAAACUUAGUAUAUUAUUCAGAAAGUCAGUCCUGAGAAAUUAAUGGCAUUAAUCUACCAAUGUUAUGAAAGUCUUUUGUUUUGGGAGAUGUUGAUGUAUUAUGGCAAAAUGAAAAGUGUUUUUGUUGGUGAAGCAUGGCAGACCACAGCAUAAUCCAGCCGCUAGCUUUGCUCAGGGAAGGUCCUUACAUGUUUACUUGGUUAGGUUGAGUGGAGUCGUCAGAAAUUCUUUUUAUUUUUGCUCCCAUGAAAAACAAACAAACAAUCAGCAACAAAAACACCACAUUCAGCCUAAACUCCUGGAUUAGUACUGAGGAAUAUUCUCGGUGGGAACUGCUGUGUUGUGCUGUGCACUGCCUUCUACCUAGCCACACUAGAGGCACCUUGCUUCUGUGUUCUGUGGUGAUUUGAGGCUAUGGAUUCUGUUUUCCGUGGACAAAACUUCUCUUCACUAGCCCAGAGUACACGUGUCAGAUUGUUGAAACAAGGUGUUCCUACUUAAGCCUUCGGUUUGUGUGACACUGUUACAGUCAUCACCAGUCAGCAGACAACGGAAGCCGCUAUCAGCUACCCUCUCAGCAAGAUAUUUACAAGUCCAUUCGAGUUACCUCGGAAGCAGCGUAUCCUAACUCAUUUUACCUACAGAUCAUGUGUGAGACACAGAGAGCCAGACAUACACCAUUACUUAUAAUUUUUUUAAAUAUCCGUCCACCAUAAGAUGCCCACACUUUAAUUAUGAACUUUUUUUUGAGGUGGGGGUGGGAGCUGGGCAAAAGGGUAUGACAGUGGGAGGAGGAUGGGGCCAGAAGAAAUUCUGAAGGACGGGCUACAUCCGCUUCUUUCCCAAACUCUCCUCAUUUAGUAAAUGAAGGCUCAUGAAAGCAGAACAUUUGGCGCUUUGCACCAAUAUUAUGGUGUAAAAUUAUAGUUAGGAAUAUUGUGUAAAAACUGUAAUAGUUUGCAGUUAUAGCUAUGGUGAGAACAGCAGGCAAGACUAUAAGCUUUAAUUUAUGUUGUGCUUUGGACAUUUUUCAGAAACUAUUUACCCAUUACCUCUUAGGUCAGUGGCCUAAUAAUGCAACAAAGCACUUUUUGAAAUUGCAGAUAAUUUUCAGUGCUCAGAUCUCUGUGUAGUAUUGAUGGGGAGGGUGGUUGAUUAGGACCUUGGGAAUUGUGCUUGAUGGGAACAAUCUGGAAGGAGUGAAAAAUUAUUAAACACACACAGCGGGAGAUGGAGGAUUUACCAUUGUCGUGCGGUGCUAUUAAUUCUCAUUGCUCGGUGCAGAGGCUUGAUUGCAUACUGUGAAUACUGUUUAUUGGAGAAUGGGUACAAUUUUGCUGCAGUUGUUGUAAUGUAAUACUAAAUGCUAAUUAGGCUUCUAACAAUAAUUAGAACCUCUUGCCAGACUUAGAAAUAGAAACACUCAAUUGAAUUUACAGAAACAAAGACCUUUAAGCUAUGCCAGCAGCAGCGUCGGCUUCAAGAAGUUUUUUACAUUUUAGUUACAGAAUUGCCAGCACAUCUAUAUAUAUAUAUGUAUUUUUAUGGUGUGCAUAAUGAGUUCAUUUAUGUUCUUGAUAGGAUUAUUUUCCAAACAAGAUAAAGCAAACCUCCCCCCUCUAAUAUCAGAUUAAGAAAAACUACAAACAGGUAUAAAGCAAAUGUACCUUUGUUGCCAUGCAGAUGCCAACUGCCAGCUCUCUAGCUAUUGAGUAGGGUGGGGAAGGCAGGGCUGCGAUGGGGAACGUGGCUGAUUUGAAGGUUAGGGCCAUUCUGAAUGCUUCAGGUUUUCCUCUAACCCCAUGUUGUCUCCCUUCCUUUGUACACACACACACACAUGCCUCAAAUACCACCUGAUUGCCAGUGUUGAUGCCUUGGAUCAGCUCCCUAAAUUGCUUUCUUAAAGCUCUGUCACCAGUCAGAAGCAAACCAAACCCACAGAGUCCUCAGGGGAUAAACUCUUCUCUGGUGCUUUGCUUUGUCAACCCUUUCUAAUCAACCAGGAUGGCAAAACUCUCUCAGCAAAGUAAGGAGUGCAUCACAUGUGCUCAGCAAUGAGAAAUGAUUAGCUGAAAUUUUCCCUGGCAUUCCCUGAGCCUUGUGGUUUCACCCCAUUACUGUGGCAGGAGCUUUGGGCCAUCCCAGGAAUGUGGCCGUGGGUAUCUGCAGGAGUCUGGGAGGGCCUGGGCAUGUUUCCUGGCGUGGGGGCAGGUUGCAGCACCCUGAUCUGGGUUUGUUUGGUAGCAGUUGAGCAAUGCCUUUGUUGUUGGGGUAUCAGUGCUGUAGUUAAUUUCCUCAUCCUGUUUUGUUUUUAGAACCAGAGAUACAAAGACUUAAGCAAACCUCAUUGACUCUCCCUUCACAAAUAUACCACAUGAAACAAUUGAGCAUGCCUCCCCCUUUUAAUCUUCACUCAGGCUAAGUUGGCUAGCUGUUCUUCAGUGUUAAUAAUUAGCUGCUUGACAUGAUGUAUCCUGUUGCCCCUUAGUCUCGAGCCAUCAUGGUAACAGAAAUAUAAUCCUGAAGCGCUGUUCUGGAACAGUCUUAAGAGAACCUAUAGUCCUCACCGUGGUGCCAAAUUUCUGGGUGAAGUGAGUUUUUACAGGUUUCACUGGUUACUGAGAAACAGGUUUUAUGAUGGAAACACUGGAAGCACAGUUUUGCUCCAGCCUCCGGGGUGAGGCAUGGCGAACUCUAAGGAGAGAAGCAAUUUCCUGAUUUCUCUCUGGUUUUGGUUAGAGUGGCCAUUUUUACAAGCUAUUAAGAAACGACGCUCAUAGAAACUUCCACUUUUGUGUCCUUAUUAAUAUUUCAUCAGAUUCAUCAAACGCAGCCCCUUCCCCAUCCAAGUGUCCCUGCCUCCUAACCCCCUGGGGUAAAAUUCUUUCUUUUUUUUUUUUUCCUUAAAGUAAUUUUGAGUUUCUUUCAUGUUGGUUUUUGAACUUCUCCCUGUCUCCUCCCCUUACCAAGGUGCUCCCCCUGCUGGUGGGGUCAUGAUGGGGCUGGCGCUGGCCCCAAAUGAGCUACAGCUUCAGGCCAUCCAAGCCAGCCUCUCCUUUCAGAGGAAUUCCGUCACUUUCUCUCUCUGCCACUCUUUGGUUCGAUAGAGGCCUCUCCUUUCCCCGACUCACUAUUGGAGUCUACUUGUCCCAUGUAAGUUUGGUAAUUUGAUCAGAUUCCUUCUCUGAUUCUUAACCGGUAAUGGUAUAGUCAGAUUGUGUAACUGGGAAUAGUGAUCUCCCAAUUUUGCACGAAAUCUUAACAUUCAGGGCAGAAGACGUCACUGAUAAAUAAUCAAUGACCAAAACGCCUUGACUCGGGUGGCUGAUUCCUCGGUGCCCAAGAGUGUGGUGUGCGAUGCUAAGUUCAGUUUUGGUCCUAAUGGGGUUAAGUUGAGUUCCACGACCCGAGGCAAGCGCCCCACGUUUGCCUGUCUUGCAGUUUAUAUGAAGUAUGCCCAUGACAUUUCUAAGGAGGCACUGUGGGAGCAUUUUUGUCUGCGUUUUAGCAAAUACGCUUGAUUGCCAGAGGUGCUCACGUUGUGGUUUUUCCCUUCCUGAGGAGACGGUUUUUCUCAAGCUGGUCUGCAGAGAGUCUGUGAAGGAUGGGGCUGGAGUGAGUCAAACGCUCUCUUUCUAUUUUCUGGUUACAUUUUUCUCGUUCACAAGUCAGUGGCACCUGCAAAUGGAAGACUUGCUGAGGUAGCACCUGGCUGAUUAGCAACUUUUCCUCGGUCCCACUCACACACUGACCGUUAAAUUACCUCCUAUCAGGCCUGGGCUGUGUGGCCGCCGAGACAGGCGGGCGGAGGUCACCUCAAUAUGGCUGACAUGUUCUGUGUUUUCCCACAGCAUGUCACAUGUAGCCAGCGCGGCGACUUUGACAAAGUACCGCGGGGUGACCUGGUAGUCUCGGGUCAGAGUGAGAGAAAUUGGUGUUGUACUAAGAUGUAUGUUAAUACAUACAUUAUUUAUAUGGGCAUUAGCGGAAUGCUACUGUUGCCUUAGCACAAACCCAGGCCCAGAGAUUGGCCUUGGGGUUUUUGCAAGCUUACUUUAUCAUGUUUCUCCCCACCCCCCUCCUUGCUCAUGAAUAAUUAAAAACUUAAAUUACUUGCCAUGUACAAAAUUCAUAUGCUGGGGAAAAUAGCUACAUGAAAAUUAAUUUUCUGUUCUGUGAGACUGACGGGAAAUCAAUUAAUCUUGAUGUAUUAUUUUAUGCAGAACAGGGUACAAGAACCUGCGAAGAGAAUGGCUACAGCUGUUCUUGUUGGUCGGGCCAUAUAUUAUCGUUGGCGGGUUUGACAGCUUCUGAAGGAAAUGGCUGAGGGGUAUCAGGCAGGUGAAUCAACUGUAAAAAUUUAUUGGAGGAUACAAACUGUUUCCAGGGGACUGAUAUAAAACUCACACUUGAGAACUGAAGUAUUGAAUGUUUUUGUGACUGAAGCAGCUUGUUGUCAAUAUUUAUAGCUUUUCUCUUUGUUACAUGUCCUAUUUGUUUGAUUAACUAGUCAGAUGUUAGUGUCUGUCGGUAAUUUAUCUGUUGUGCCUUCUGUAGCAUUUUUGAUACAUAAAGAUUUACCACAAGAUAAAUAAGGCAGCGCACACAAUGCAAUAUGCGAAAUAAAAUGACAGAGCUGUUUACAGCAUGUUACAAGUUUUAUAACUCAUGAGGUAGAUCAGUAACUUUUGUUUACUGGUGUCACUGUUCGUUGAAACAUGUCUCAAUGUAUUAAAUACCAUGGGGGUAAAUAAGGCUCUCUUAAAUAAGCAGAGAUUAUAAUCAAACAUACCUCAUGGUAAAUCACUUAAGAGGCUCUAUAAAAACGUUUAUGUACAGCCAUACAUAAUGCAUACAUUUCUGAAAUAAAAUAAAAUAAAUGUGUGCUUUUAGAAUAGGCUGUAGUUACAUUCCUCUCUCAUGCUGUCGACAUCGACAUCAAUUUCCCCUGUAGAUGAUCGAGGUGCGAUCUUCAGACAAAUGCUGACGCAGACAGACGGAAGCCUGUGGCUGAGGGGCGGCGGCCUGGCAGGUGAUGUCUCUCCAGGGUUGAGGAAUGGCUGCUGGGAACACAUCACUGGUCAUCACUGCAGCAUCACUGGUCAUCACAGGCUGGUGGGGCUGGGUGGUUGUGGCUCUCAGUCUCAGGCAAUUGAGGUUGACUUCUUAUGUGCCUUAUGUGGUGUGUGGAUUUAGGGAGAUGCCAGUUAAGUGGAUGUAGAUAAUGCUUUACCCAGGGCCCCUCUGUGACCACCUGCCUCUUCCCCGUCUUCAGGCAACAUGGGCUAGGGUCAUUGGCUUCCUAAGAAAUUGUCAUGAGCACUCAGGCCUUCUUAUCUCUACAUAGAGUGGUGGAAACUGUACCAUGUGGCUGGCUGUGCAUUCUUCAGAUAUCAGGAGAACCCUAAUGUCUGUUGAUCAGCAGCAGACUUGGCAAACAGUGGUGCUUAGUAAAUAGAACUUGAGACAGAGGAUCUGAUUUGUGAUUCAAUUUCUAAUAAUUCAUAAAUGACCUCUAGCAUGAAUAGCAUUCAAUUUGGGAGCCAUUAUGAUACUUUGAGAGGCAUAGAAACAGUAUGUUGCAUUGAUAUUGUACUUUUUACUCUUUUAGAAGCCUGUCAUUCACAUAUAUGUAUAUAUGUAUAUAUGCAGAUAACAUAUUAAUGAGGACAAGCAUAUAUUAAGGCAUGUUUAUUAAGUCACAAGAGGAACUUCUCUUACGUGGCAGUUUGAGGGGUGGGGAUGGUUGGGGAUUGCUCUGUAACAGACUACCACAAGCUUAGCGGCAUGAAACAACAUUGUUUACUAGCUGUAGGCUGGGAGACCCAGCAAGCCUGCUUGGUACAGCGUAUCAGACAGACAGGAAACAGAUAGCAAACAGUACAGGUGGGAAUCAGGGUGUCAUCCCUGGUGUAUCUUCUUCUGGAGGCUCUGGGAAGAACCCGCUUCCAAGCUCGGUCAUGCUGUCAGCAGAAUGCAUUUCCUUUGGCUGUAGGACUGAGGUCCCUGUUUCUUUGCUGGCUGUUGGCCAGGGCGCAUUCUCAGACCACAUGCCCGCCUCCAUCUCAAGUGAGGAAUGGGGCCUCUCUCUCAUGUUGACUCCUCCUUACCUUUCUGAGCUCUCUGACAUACCCUUCUGCUACUAGCCAGAGAAAACCUCUGCUUUUAAAAAAGGGCUCACACGAUUAGGUUAUACUCACCCGGAUAAGCUCCAUAUCUUAAGGCUACCACGAUUGGUAACCUUCAUCUGCAGAAUCCCUUUUGGCAUGAAACAUACGUAAACAUGGAAGUAGGAUCAGGGAGCAAGGUUUAUGGGGUCAUCUUAGAAUUUCGUCUACCACAAGGGUAUUUGUUGUGAUGUUUACGCUGUGGACUUUUUGGAGCACAAAAUCCUUAAUCCUUAUCUUAAUCUUUAUCUUCUUUUGAUGUCCCCCAACCUGGCCUGGGAAGAAGAGGGCCAACUCUGGGUGGGUUCCAUCAACAAAUACAAGUAGAGUACCUGCUGCACAGCCAACUUUCCUGUUAUGGACUCUUUGUUUAUGUCCCCCAAAUUCCUGUGUUGAGCUCCUAAGCACCAGUGUGAUGGUUUUAGGAGGUGGGGCCUUUGGGAGGUGAUUAGGUCAUGAGGAUGGAGCUCAUGAUGGGAUUAGUGCCCUUCUAAGAGGAAUCCUUGAGAAUGCUAUGAGGACCGAAUGCGAAGUACAUUUCUGUUGUUUGUGAGCCACCAGUUUAUGGUGCUUUGUCAUAGCAGCCCGGACUGACUAAGGCACUUGCAUUAUAGGCAGGAAGUAAAAAUCUCUGUAAGAUGCACAUUCCUUGCUCUCUCCAUGACAAGGUUUUUCAUACACAUAUCAUGAGAUUGUCAGCCAGUCAAGGCAUCUGAGGACAGGGGCUAAAGUAAGUGGAAAUUGAGUGGGAAAGUAAACCCUUGUGAGUUGAAGUGGGCAAAGGAAGGCUUCAAGAGACAAAAUGGUCAGCGGGCCUUGAACAAGGCAUACAAUUCAACAAGAUGGAGAAAAAGGGGCAAGGCCACCCAGUUGGCCAAGAGCCUGUGUGCGGAAAUAAUGGAAAGUCAGGUUGAGCUGUGGUGGUGGAUCCUCCCCCAACAGGCAUGAAUAGGCGUGCUGUAGGGAAGUAUGGGAGGUACACUAUGAAAAAUACAUGCAUGCUCAUGAUAAACCACAUGGGGAAGCCACAUGUUGAAAUCAUAUGAAGUUCCUCCUACUUACAGAAGCCUCUGGAAGGACUCAUGUCCUCCAUCCCUGCCUAUGGCAAGACUUCCCCAAGGGCCCUCUGCUCUUGGGGUACAGGUAUGGUGAAUCAUUCUGAACAGUGUGAUAAGUUCUAUACUCAGAGUUAAAGCCCAGCCUGCACACUGAGAUCACUCAGGGAACUUGUAAAAGGAGUACCCCAGACCAAUUCUAUCAAAUCACUGACGAUGGGCACAGGGAUUGGGAUUGUAUGGAAAUGUUCUCCAGGUGAUUUUAAUACCACCUGGCCAAGGUGAGAACCGCUUUACUAUAUAAUUGGUAUGUACAGAGCAUUAUGCGAUUAGUGCUAUUCAUUCUGAUUAGGAGGUGACAUUUGGAGUGGGGUCUUGAAAAUUGAGAAGGCGUUUACCAAGUAGGCAGUGGGCAGUGGGGUAUUUCAGGCAAAAGGGGAGAAUCAUGAACAGAAGCUUAAGGAUGGGGAAGAUUACAGUCUGUGUGGAGAUGAAGGUGCUGCCCAUGAGGGAGCGAGGGAGCUGGGAGGUGGUGAGAGGAGGCGGGAAGAAUGGGUUGCGGUGAAUGUUGACAUAAAUGCAGUUGUACUUUCUGGAAGAAAAAGAAAACUUUAUCAUCAAGGCUUUGUCCUGAUCCAACCUGACCUUCCCCCCAGCUGAUCCGAAUUACUGACGUUUGACUCCAUGUUCAUUUUCUCUGAGAUUUGCUUUGAUUUCUUUUAGAAGUGGAGCUGCUGUUUAUUCUCCCAGCGGCUCUGCGUACAUGCUCUGCCCGGGGAGUUGCCUGGGAUGAGCUGUGAGUCCUCUGAGAACUGCUUCCCGUUUGGUCUGGUAACUCCUAAGCCUGCCUUUCUUUCCUACAGUCUGCAUUUGAGGAAAUCUGCGCAUUUGAAGUUUGGAGGAGAUCAAUUUUUCAUCCUUUCCUUGGUGGGAUAAGGAAUAUUUCAACCACCUCUGGAGACCAAAGCGCUCUGAGAAGUUUUGAAAUAGCUUGGGAAAUACACCACAUGCUUCACACUUCUUUUUUCUCCACUCUCUUUCGUUGUUCCACUUAAUUAAAAUAUUGCAAUGCAAGAAGGAGAGAGACAAAUGUUUAGAGAAGGGAAAGGAAAUGGGUUCAGGUUUAAAUUGACUCUGAGCAAGCAGGGCAAUGGUAGUUUGAAAGAAUUUUGAGCAUGUAGGAAGGUAAACGCAAAAGGUUCUUCCUGCCUGAGAAGUGAUUAAAAUACCUGUGAGCUCCA